GGCCCGGCCGUCAGGGGCGGAGACAGCAGGAGGUGCCGCGCUCCGAAAGCGAGCGCUACGCGAGCCGCGGCCCGGCGGGAGGAAACACCUGCACGAGUCUGCCUCCGCCCGGCCGUGGCUGCAGGGGAGGUCGGUGGCUCCGAGGGCUGGCAGUGGCACUGCAGGUCCCAGCAUGUCUAAAGAGCUGCAGGAGCUGCAGAAGCAAUGGCACUUCAUCGUGCAGUCCAUCCACAGCAACUCAAACGUCGUUGCGUUUAUGAACUCCCGCCUGGGCCUGUAUUUGGAUGACCAUCCCUUUGUUGCCUUAUCGCUCCUGAUGUUCAUUGCAGUGUCUACUAUUCCUGUGGCAUUUUUCCUCAUCUUUGUCAUUACGACAGUCAUAAUGGCUUGUGUUGGUGUGAUAAUCAUGGAAGGUGUUGUGAUAUCCAUCGGGGGCGUAGCCCUGCUCUGUGUGCUUUGUGGCCUGGGUGCGCUUUCACUGGGAGUUUCUGGAGUGCUGAGUGUUUGUUACAUCAUUCUUUCAGCUCUGGUCAAUUGCUGGUGUGCCUCAAGGAGCCAGGCGAGGAAGCAAGAAGUUAAUGGAAGUUCGCCACAGAAGAGUCUGUCUGUCAUGGACUUCUCUGACAACAAACGAAAGAACAAAUAGUGGGAUUCUGCCCAUCUUCAAACACUCCGCUGUGCAGGACAGGUGACUUCACCAUGGAAGGAAAAUUCAUUUGUUAAAGACUACCUCCCCUGUGAACCCACACUGGCUCUGGCCAAAGACAGCACUGUCCUUCAGAACCUCCCAAGUCAGCUGGCACCUCUCUAGGUUCCCAGUGAUGGACAAUUCAGAGACACCUGGUGCUGACCUUGGCCAGUUCUAAGUACUCUAGGAUGGAUCCUUGCGAGCUCUCCUGCACCACAGCAGGCUGCACCCAGCAUCUCUGCCUCCCCCUGGCUUCCAGGCACUGCCAGGUCCUUGGGAGCAUCCAAUGACAGAGGUCAGGGUAAAAGGAAUCCUGCUCAAGACAACCUUGAUUAUCAUCCAUUAAGGAUUGCAGCACUCUGUUAGGAUCUGCCUCAAAUCCUUUUAGGAAUUAUAGUCAGCCCAUCAGCAAUGCUUAUUGUGAAGGAGUGGCAGUGGGAGCUGAGCUCCGCUCCACGCCUUCUCCCCCCCCCCCAAGCUGUGGCAGCAUCACAGACCCAGUCCCACACAGCACUGCGCCACCUACUUACAAGAAGUUGAAACCAACAAUGAAUAAUUCUGUAGUGAUGCUAAGAAACAAGUUUAGCUUAAAGAAAAGCUUCACUACUCCUUGCCCCAGCAGAGCUCUGCACACCUUUCUUAUCCAGCUGCCCACUACAAGCACUUCUGUGCUCUGCUCACAGGGCAGUAGGAUGUCCAGCACAGCAUCCUUGAGAUGCUGGAACAUGGGAGAUUCUGAAGUGGCUCAUGGCACUGACCAGCGCUUUUGCUCUGCUGUCUGCUCUCUCACUGGAUUAAAAGCAAAUACAAUCCAAACGUUCAGUUUUAAGGAGAAUCUCAUUAACCCAAAGCCAUUGGGACCAACACCAUUUAGUUUAGUGGGGAAAGGCAAUUGCCAGAGCUGAUGUUCUCCACUUAUGCCAUCCAGAAGCAGGAGUUUAUUCUCAAAUCAGUGCAUUGGUAGAGAAAGUAACAACGCUGUACAAGUGAAAGCACUGCUCACAGCCUGGCCUUGCUCACAAUAGCAGGCUCAGGAAAUCCUGUAGCAAGUUCAGUUAGUUUUGCCUCUGCCAGCUUCCAGCAAGGUGCUGCAAUUGGGCACAAGCAGUCGCACGGAGACACAGCCCAACAAAAGCAGCAGCCACACCUUCAGAUGAGGCACCAAACAGAGGCAGCAGUUGUGCUCUCCCAGCUCUUGGCUUGCAGGAGAAAGAGCACUUCAACCUACUGGGCUGCCUGCAAGCCACCCUUAACCUGGAUUAAAACCUGGUCUACCUCCAGUUUCAUUUGCUUCUGUUUGAGAAGCAUUUCCUCAGGGAGAGGAGGAGCCUCCCACUCAUUCUCUGAAGCUCGAGGGGAAAGGUGGUAUAAUGAUCCAAGUGACAGCCUAAAGGACAGCGGGCACCUCCUGCAGUCUUAGCACUGAGGUGUGCAAUGCAUUAGCAGAACUACUGGAGAGCUAACACCAACCACUGCCACAAACUUCCUUCUAAAAGUGCUCUUUAAACAGGGAAGGAGGGAAGAGGAGGUGUAGUUUCUCUUCCAGAUGAGAACCCCACUGCAUUUACACUCGCAUUUUACUUCUCCUGUCACAUACGCGCCUUUUCCUCACACCGGGAUCUUCCUCCCCCCAGCCCACCUCUUCCAAAGGGACACUUCGCAGUCUCACCACCCCGCACCCACUGGGUCUCAGCGCCCGCUUCCCAUUCUCCGUGCACUUCACACCUCGUCGUUCGGAGGGCGCUGCUCAGCUGAGCGGUGCCUGUUCCGCAUCGCACUGCUCCGCCCCGCGGCUCUGAAGCCAGCGGGGCGACUGCGUUACCGAGCAGUACGGGGAGACCUGAACGC